GAUGAACGCUGGCGGCGUGCCUAAUACAUGCAAGUCGAGCGAACGGACGAGAAGCUUGCUUCUCUGAUGUUAGCGGCGGACGGGUGAGUAACACGUGGAUAACCUACCUAUAAGACUGGGAUAACUUCGGAAAACCGGAGCUAAUACCGGAUAAUAUUUUGAACCGCAUGGUUCAAAAGUGAAAGACGGUUUUGCUGUCACUUAUAGAUGGAUCCGCGCUGCAUUAGCUAGUUGGUAAGGUAACGGCUUACCAAGGCAACGAUGCAUAGCCGACCUGAGAGGGUGAUCGGCCACACUGGAACUGAGACACGGUCCAGACUCCUACGGGAGGCAGCAGUAGGGAAUCUUCCGCAAUGGGCGAAAGCCUGACGGAGCAACGCCGCGUGAGUGAUGAAGGUCUUCGGAUCGUAAAACUCUGUUAUUAGGGAAGAACAUAUGUGUAAGUAACUGUGCACAUCUUGACGGUACCUAAUCAGAAAGCCACGGCUAACUACGUG
rnacentral:rRNA from 1 species